CUUCGGUCAUAGAUUAAGCCAUGCAAGUGUCAGUUCAGGUAACGAAACUGCGUAUAGCUCAUUAAUACGCUUAGAAUCUAUUUGGUAGCGACCAAAAGGUUUUAAUUGGAUAGCAGCAGUAAUUCUGGUGCUAAUACAUGCAUCCCUAGUUUCAUCAUAAAUGACUUAAGAUGAAAAAGUUGACCUUUAAUAGGCACUCCAUUCGAUUAAGCGACCUAUCAGCUUGUACUUAGGGUCUUUACCUAGGUAGGCUAUAACGGGUAACGGGCGGUUACCGUCGGACUGCCGGAGAAGGCGCCUGAGAGAUAGCGACUAUACCCACGGGUAGCAGCAGGCGCGAAACUUACCCACUCGAGACUUUCGGAGGUGGUAAUGACCAGUUUUGAAUUAACUCUUUAAAAGGGUUGUUUAAAUAGGAUAUGCGUUUUCUACUCAUAUGCAACCUAGCAGAGGGCCAGUCUGGUGCCAGCAGCUGCGGUAAUUCCAGCUCUGCGAGUUUGCUCCCAUAUUGUUGUAGUUAAAACGCCCGUAGUCUGAAUUAUUCGAAAAAUAAUAGCAUCUAAUUAGAUGUGUUCACUGCGAACAAAUCAGAACGCUUAAAGUUAGGUUUUUUUAAGAAUGACUUAGCGCAGUAUGAUAUUUUUACCUAAGGUAAAAUCAAAGAGAAUCAUCGGGGAUAGAUCUAUUUCAUGGCGAGCGGUGGAAUGCGUUGACCCAUGAGAGAGAAACAAAGGCGAAAGCAUCUAUCUAGUGGGUUUCUAUCGAUCAAGGGCGAGAGUAGGAGUAUCCAACCGGAUUAGAGACCCGGGUAGUUCCUACCUUAAACAAUGUCAACAAGGGCUUGUUAUUAAUUAAAUAAUAACAGGAUCUUAGGAGAAAUCAUAGUUCUUGGACUCUGGGGGAACUACGGCCGCAAGGCUGAAACUUGAAGGAAUUGACGGAAGGGCACACCAGGGGUGGAGCUUGUGGCUUAAUUUGAAUCAACACGGGAAAACUUACCAGAACCAGAUGUUUUUUAUGACUGACAGGCUAUAGGUCUUUCAGGAUUUGACUUUAGGUGGUGCAUGGCCGUUGGUGGUGCGUGGGUUGACCUGUCUAGCGUUGAUUCAGAUAACGAGCGAGAUUAUUAUCAAUUAAUUACUUUAAGUUUAUUAAAACUUAUUAAGUUCUAAUUGAGACUCCCCGUGUAUAAAUGGGAGGAAGAGAAUAGCAAUAACAGGUCCGUUAUGUCCUUCAGAUGCUCUGGGCUGCACGCGCGCUACAAUGUUAGAAUCAAAGAGUUUAAUAAAGUUGAAAAACUAAAUUACUCUCUUAAUAUCUAACGUAGUUGGGAUUGAUGAUUGUAAUCAUUAUCAUGAACCAGGAAUCCCUUGUAAAUGCGUAUCAACAACGCGCGUUGAAUACGUCCCUGCCCUUUGUACACACCGUCCGUCGCUCCUACCGAUGAAUGAUUCGGUGAAAUCACCGGACUUCUUUUUUUUAAGGAGAAAGGUAAUUAAAUCAAAUUAUUUAGAGGAAGGAGAAGUCGUAACAAGG
rnacentral:rRNA from 1 species